AUCAGUUCAGGUAGCAAAAAAAAAAAGAAAGAAAGAAAGAAAAAAACUGAAAUUCAACACGGCUUAUCAGAAAUGAGACGAAGACACGAAAGAACCUAGCAUAAAAUAAAGCGGGCAGGAACAUUUCAAUGUCAGUUCCAGGCUGCCUAAUCACAAUGCAAAGAACGUUCAUUAUCCUCGGUGGUAUCCUGGCCUUGUUCACGAUUCCAGCCUAAGGACUUGCCCUGGACAUCUCUGACUACUGGAUCGACGCUUCUGACGAGGGCCACGAAGGACGCUGGAAAUGGGGAGACGGCUCUGCCGUCCUCAUGAGCACCCCCUUCUGGAGUUACAACUGCGAUCGAUCAUUCAAGCAGAGGCCCUCGCUCAACUUCACGCGCAACUGCG